GUUUCUGUAGUUGAGAACAACAAUGGCUUUUCAAGCCGUAGGCCUUGGGGCAGAGCCAAGCGGAAAUA
rnacentral:tRNA from 1 species